UUACGGCUAUAUCACGUUGAAUCACCGGUUCUCGUACGAUCACUGAAGUUAAGCAACGUCAAGCUUGGUCAGUACCUAGAUGGGUGAACGUUUGGGAGUAACAGAUG
rnacentral:rRNA from 1 species